rnacentral:rRNA from 1 species
UACAGAGGUCUCAAGCGUUGUUCGGAUUCAUUGGGCGUAAAGGGUGCGUAGGCGGCGCGGUAAGUCGGGUGUGAAAUCUUGGAGCUUAACUCCGAAACUGCAUUCGAUACUGCCGUGCUUGAGGACUGGAGAGGAGACUGGAAUUUACGGUGUAGCAGUGAAAUGCGUAGAUAUCGUAAGGAAGACCAGUGGCGAAGGCGGGUCUCUGGACAGUUCCUGACGCUGAUGCACGAAGGCCAGGGGAGCAAACGGG